rnacentral:rRNA from 1 species
AGUAGGGCGGGACACGUGGUAUCCUGUCUGAAUAUGGGGGGACCAUCCUCCAAGGCUAAAUACUCCUGACUGACCGAUAGUGAACCAGUACCGUGAGGGAAAGGCGAAAAGAACCCCGGCGAGGGGAGUGAAAAAGAACCUGAAACCGUGUACGUACAAGCAGUGGGAGCCUCUUUAUGGGGUGACUGCGUACCUUUUGUAUAAUGGGUCAGCGACUUAUAUUCUGUAGCAAGGUUAACCGAAUAGGGGAGCCGGAGGGAAACCGAGUCUUAAU